AAGAGGGGAGCACUAGUGGUGUGCAACUAGCUUGAAACUAGUAGGGGGGGGUUCAAUUCCCUCACUUCUUG